rnacentral:tRNA from 1 species
GCGAAAGUGGCGGAACUGGCAGACGCGCAAGGCUCAGGACCUUGUGAGCGCAAGCUCAUGGGGGUUCAAAUCCCCCCUUUCGCACCA